rnacentral:lncRNA from 1 species
GGAAGGAGUGCGGAGAGAGAAAGGAGGAGAGACGCAUGUCUGGGGAGAGGAGCCUUCAUCGGAGAGCGGGGGUUUGCGUAGGCGCCCCCCUGUAAGCUGACCUCUUAGUCUCCGCAUCCCCACAGCCUGCGGCUGUCUGAGACGUCGUCUGCUCUGGGCUCGACUUGGAGCAGGAAGUUUGGGAACUGAGAGGCACAGACAUAGAUGAGAUGCGGGGAGCGCAUUUGAAGACAUCUACAUCCCAUCAGAUGAGAGAGCCCUCAUCCAUCAUAAUCCGUGUUCCCUGGAAGGAGGCGUGUCCAGCAUUUCCUAUUCCAGCCAGGCCCCUUGUCAGCGUGUGAGACAUUGUCAAGAAUGCCCCCCACUCCUUGGAAGGAGAGUCUUUGGUAGUCUGGCCUGAAGGCUCUGGACUGAGUGAGACAAAUAGGUUGCUAAUAAUGUCUGUAAACUCUGGACCCCAUUUCCCGACAUUAAAAACUUCAUCUAAAAAGUCUGAGUGAUAUUUACAAAUAGGAGCCUGCCCCCUUGUCCCCAGCUCUUUUUAGUCUGUGACAAAUAGGUCGUUGUACACAGUGAGGACACAUGGGACUGUGCACCUUCCUCUGCCGCAUUCCUCGAUCUGCCAGCCUUUCGCUGUCCCUCCACACCCCUGCUCGUCUAGAAGCACACACUGCACCACAGACCUGUGUGCGCCCGUGUGCACCCACGUGCACACACCGAAGGCUCAAAGGUGGGAAGUCACCAAAGCAGACAGCGGAACCAGGUCUUA